GACCAGCCUAGCCCGACGGGGCGAAAAGCGGGCUUCCCACCCGCCAGGCUAGUUGAUUUAUGGGA
rnacentral:ncRNA from 1 species